rnacentral:rRNA from 1 species
ACGGAAGGCAGCAGUAGGGAAUCUUCGGCAAUGGGGGGAACCCUGACCGAGCAACGCCGCGUGAGUGAAGAAGGUUUUCGGAUCGUAAAGCUCUGUUGUCAGAGAAGAACGGGUGUGAGAGUGGAAAGUUCACACAGUGACGGUACCUGACGAGAAAGGGACGGCUAACUACGUGCCAGCAGCCGCGGUAAUACGUAGGUCCCGAGCGUUGUCCGGAUUUAUUGGGCGUAAAGCGAGCGCAGGCGGCUCUGUAAGUCUGAAGUAAAAGGCAGUGGCUUAACCAUUGUGUGCUUUGGAAACUGCGGGGCUUGAGUGCAGAAGGGGAGAGUGGAAUUCCAUGUGUAGCGGUGAAAUGCGUAGAUAUAUGGAGGAACACCGGUGGCGAAAGCGGCUCUCUGGUCUGAGACUGACGCUGAGGCUCGAAAGCGUGGGUAGCGAACAGGAUUAGAUACCCUGGUA